rnacentral:rRNA from 1 species
UACAGAGGUCUCAAGCGUUGUUCGGAUUCAUUGGGCGUAAAGGGUGCGUAGGCGGCGCGGUAAGUCGGGUGUGAAAUCUUGGAGCUUAACUCCGAAACUGCAUUCGAUACUGCUCUGCUAGAGGGCUGGAGAGGAGAUCGGAAUUCACGGUGUAGCAGUGAAAUGCGUAGAUAUCGUGAGGAAGACCAGUGGCGAAGGCGGAUCUCUGGACAGCUCCUGACGCUGAGGCGCGAAGGCUAGGGGAGCAAACGGG